AUAUUGUAUCCUUGGAGUCUACUGUUAUAAAGUGACAGACACAUCCUUUCUAACACAGUCUGACCAUGAUGAACACACUGGUCCUCCUGAUGGGGGCGCUCUCCCUGCCCUGUGUGAGUUGCCAGAUCCUCCAGUCCAUUCCCUCUUCUCCAGUGCUCAAAACUCCUCAGGAGUCUGUUAGUCUUUCCUGCAGUGGAUCUGGGUUUAACUUUGGUAGCUACGGGAUGCACUGGAUCAGACAAGCUGAAGGAAAAGGGCUGGAAUGGCUCAGGCUCAUUUAUUAUGAUGCGAGUAAGACGUAUUACGCAAACAGUGUUCAAGGGCGGAUAGAAAUCAGCAGAGACAAUGGCAGAAGCUUGACAUUUCUCACACUGUCCAACCUGCAGCCUGAGGACUCUGCUGUGUACUACUGUGCCCGAAAGCCACAGUCACUCAAUGUAUAG